rnacentral:lncRNA from 1 species
CGCAUAGUCGGCCGCGUGAUCGAGCACCUCGUCGGGUGCCAUCCCCGUGCGCAGGGGACCGGUGUAGGCGCGCGCGGCGAAAUCGACCAGGUUCUGCGGGGCGUAGCGGCGACUUUCGGCGCGCGCGCGAACCUGUCCCUCAAAAAGGCGCAGGGCGAUCACGAGACGACACUCAUCCAUCCAGGCGCCCCUCAUCGGCGCCGAGUACCAGUCGUCCUCGGCGUUGGCAUAGUUGUCGUCGAUGAGAUCGCGCACGGGGUCGGGCAGGUCAAACUCGGACGGCAGCGGCACCAUGGUCGCCUUGAUCUGUUGCGCGCCCGCCGGCGUCGGCUCCAGCAACAGAGACGUCCUCUCGAUAUCGUCGGCAUAGGUCUCCUCUUCGUCCUCGUAGAGUUGACACGGCUCGGGCGAGGCCAGCGCCGCCAGGAACAAGGUCAGCGACUCGGCAUAGGGCGCGAGGGCCUCGGUCACCCGCGGCCGGGCCGCGAUCGAGGCUAGCGGACCGGCGUCGACGCGAGACAGCACGUCAAACGGCCGCGCCCUGGUGGUCGGCAGGCAGUAGGGGAUGGCGGCCGUGGCCACCAGCGUAGCCGUGCCCGACUGGGGGGUGACGGCAAAGAGUGCCACGCGCGUGUCCUCGUCUCCGUCCGACUCGAGGAUAAAGUAGGAGACGUUGGGGUUACAUCCUUGGACGCGCGCGUCGACCCAGUCCGUGCCCGCAAACGGAUCGGCAAAGGACUGGGACGGACUGUAUCCGAUGGCGCCGAGGAUCGCACGACGGCGAGCCGCGGCGUCUAUGGACUGAACGAGCGCGCCUACGAUCUCUGUCAAGGGUCGGUCCUCGAUACGCUUUUGGAGCAGGUAGAGGUGGCCCAGCGCCGGAUCGUCCUCGGUAUCGAGGCCCGCAUAGGCGCGCACGACGUCGGCAAAGGUGGGCGGCCACGCCGAGGACAUCGAGAGGACGACGCCGAGCGCUGCCGUGUGCUCUGGCCUCGCCAACGUGCGCCACAGAUGCCGGUAGGUGUCGACAACUGGCCCGCACGACGUUGUCGCAUUCGGGCGCUCGGCCGCCCUCCACGCGCUGCCCGCGCCGCCGAUCGCGCCGCCAAGCGCCAGCCGCAGCAUCUCACGCAGGUCUGCGGCGUCGGCCGAGCCGUCCGAGACCCGUGUGCACAGGGCCUCUAAAUCGGCGAUGGACGCGUCAGCGUUCCACGGCGUCCCCGCGACACCGACGCGCGGCUGCUUGUGCGCAGGCGAACCGACAAACAUGGGCUCGGUCUCGUCGUCAUCGCCGUCGAAAUCUUGGGACAGCCGACGCUUCAUCGGUAUGGCGUCUUCUUUUUUUUUUGUUACCCUCCAGCAGAGACAAACAUUGCGCCACGCGACGACGCAAGGAUUCCGUCGGGCCACACCCACCCGCCCAUUUUUGUCUUUGCGCGAAUUAAGCGCCAUUUUUUCUUUCUCUCUUAUCUGUGCCCUCAUCGGUAGCAAAAACCGAGCGAAAAACAUGCCCAUCAAAGAAAAAAAAGACCAACAACAGCGCCGGGUUGAUCA